rnacentral:lncRNA from 1 species
CCAAGCCAGUUUAUAUAAGCCAGCAGCUUCUCUACCAAGAUCCAGAGGCCUCCUCAGAGAAGGGUCCUGUAUCAUGUGGAGUAAGCAUGAAUGUUCAAUGAACAAAACUAUACAAUGCAACUGCUUCACUAGCUUGUGGACAAAAAUCAAGUUGUGUUUAAAAGAAGGAACCAGCAGUACAUUGUGAAGAGUGAUAGAAGGAGUCAAUGCAAAAGAACCUGUGCAUGUUACUUUCACUUUAUAGCCACAAGAUAAGGCAGAGUUAAAGGUGUGAUGUUAAAAAGUAACUGUUUAUCAUGUGUCAUGUGAUUAGAGGCACGUGAAUCUAUAAUCCAGGUGACAGAAUUAAUAUUGGUAAGCAUGCUGAGUUUGGAAUCAGAAAUAGGGCUCUCAGUUAACAUAGUACCAACAAAGUUAGCAGCAUACAUGGGAGGAGGAGUCUGAGCAGUGGAGUCCCCUAACUGGGUCUGUUGUAAUAAGCUCGUCAAUUGNNNNNNNNNNNNNNNNNNNNNNNNNNNNNNNNNGGGUCUGUUGUAAUAAGUUCAUCAAUUGAUCAUACUGUUGUCUGCUCAACCCUGGUAUCACAGAACUCUGGCCAUCUAUUUUUGGAACAGAUUGAUGGCAUUCAGGAGGAUUCCCUUGGGGAACAGACAUAUGUCCUUCAGAAUGAGGGAAAUCCAGACCAGCAGAAAGAUGAGCAGCAGCAGGUCUCCUCCCCUUGUUAAAAUUUGUAAUUUAUGGAUACCCAUGGAUCUUGAAACACUUAUCAAUUAAGUGUCCAGAUUUCAUACAGUAUCUACAGAAUAAAGGCCCUCUGGCUUGAUCAAAAUUGACUCUUUUUCUGAAAGGAGAAGAAGGAUUAGGCAUUGUGGCCUUGUUAAAUCCAACUGAAUGCCUAUUAGUAUGGACAUUGAAAGAGACAGAGUCUGGAGUAAAGUGAGAAGGAGACUGGACUUGUCUUUGCUUCUCAUCAUUGAGGACCAUAUUAUAGACAUUGUCAAGGGUUGGAGGAGGCUGCAUCAUCAAAAG